rnacentral:snRNA from 1 species
GCCGGUUGUGGUGGCGCACGCCGGUAGGAAUUUGCUGAAGAGGUGGAGGUAGGAGGAUCAUGAGUUCGAGGCCAGCCUGGGCUACACAUUUUUUU